rnacentral:lncRNA from 1 species
GGGGAAACUACUAUGAACAGUUGAUUUGCACUUUCAUCCUCAGUAGACAACACUGACACAUUCAAACUAGCAACAUACAGAUACGGACAUUACUAGAAAAUCAGUUCAUCAUUAUUUAUUUUUUACUUUCAUAAGGUUUGUAGACAAAAUCACACACAGACACCUUGAUUGGGUAUUCCUGUGAAUGUCUUUGGCCCUUUCACACAGCUGUAUAAAAUCCACAUUGAACUGGAUUAUGUGGCAGUGUGGACUCAGGGCCCUUCCAGACAGGCCCUAUAUUCCAGGAUCUGAUUACAGAUUUUCUUUUUAUCCUAGAUUAUCUGGCAGUGGAGACUCAUAUAAUCCAGUUUAAAGCAAAAACAAAAACAAAAACAAAACUUGGGAUCAGAUCCUGGGAUAUAGGACCUGUCUGGAAGGGCCCUCAAAUAACCCAGUUCAAAGCAGAUAUUGUAGAUUAUCUGCCAUAAUAUUUUGGGCUAUAUGGCUGAGUGGAAGGGCCCUUUGCCUUUUGUAUGAAAAACUUGAUUGCCAGAUUGUCACUGGAAUAUAAUUUUCAAAUGAGUCCAGCGCAUGUGUCCUAAGAAAAUCUCCUACUUCUUUCAUGACAUUAGUUUCUUUUCAUAUCAGGAACGUCUUGAGAAACUGCCUGGAUGUUCUGGUGUUUUACAAUCCUUGUGGGAGGUUUCUCUCAUGUCCCCAUGAGAGACAUGAGCUGGAUCUGACAGAGGAAGCUCAUCUGUGUUCUUCCUGGAUUCGAACCGGCAACUUUCAGGGACUCAAUAUGGCUUCCCUUGAGCCUCCAGUGGCGCAGCAUACUAAAGCACUGAGCUGCUGAACUUGCGGACCGAAAGGUCGAAUGUUCGAAUCUGGGGAGCACAGUGAGCACCCACUGUUAGCCCCAGCUUCUGCCAACCUAGCAAUUUGAAAACAUGCAAAUGUGAGUAGAUCAAUAGGUACCGCUCCAGCGGGAAGGUAAUGGCACUCCAUGCAGUCAUGCCGGCCACGUGACCUUGGAGGUGUCUACGGACAACGCCGGCUCUUCGGCUUAGAAAUGGAGAUGAGGGUGACUGAAAUGGUUAAAGAUUUGGAAACCAUGCCCUAUGAGGAGUGGCUGAAAGAACUGGAUAUGUUUAGCCUGCAGAAGAGAAGCUUGAGACACAAUAGCCAUGUUUAAAUAUUUGAGAGGAUGUCAUAAGGAAGAGGGAGCAGGCCUUGGGGACUAGGACUCGGAGAAACAUGCAUGCUUCCUAGAAGGGGUUUCUGUCUCUAUUCCUCUUUUCCUGUUUGUUACAAUCUCUUCCCCCAUUUGUUGAUGUAGCAAUGUGAACUCUUUGCCAUCUUGUUUUUGGGCCUAGGUUUUGACCACAUGGUCAGCCUCAAAUUUUCUUCUCUUCUGCCUUUUGUCUCUUCCUGUGAUAACACAUCUUGACAUUCUCCAGACAAGAUGUAGCUGCAUGCAUAUUUUUCUGAUAUUUUAUCUUUUACCUUCCUUAGAAUAUGAGAUUUAUAUGAAAAUUAGUUAGCUCCAAGAACUUUUCUAUCCAGAAUGUAUUUCUUGUACUUUAAUAAAUAUGUUUGAACUUAAUUUUUUGGCUCUACAACCCUAAGCAACAAAGGCUUAUCCCAGCUCACCACACAUAAGGUUCAAAUUACAGGGAUGGGGAUUCCACCUGAACAUUAGGAAGAACCUAUAAGAGCUGUUCAGCAGUGGAACUCUCUGCCUCAGAGUCUGGUGGAAGCUUCUUCCUUGGAGGCUUUUAAACAGAGUGUUAUCAAGAAAUUAGACCCGCAAAAUGAUGAAUUGAGACAUACCUCCAUAGGAACAUACAUAGAAACAGUCCAAUGACAAUUUAUUAAAGUUUCUCACCACAGUAAAGACCAACCAGUGAUGACUUUAGACAGAGCCCUGGACCACUCAGGGUAUAGAUCCUAAGUGGACUUCUGAGCCAAUCAGGAGCAGGCACGGUAGAUUUGAAUAGCUAUCAAAAUACAAUAAAUAUGCUACAUAUUUGCAAUUGCAGUAUGUCAGUUCUUUGGAGUGCUGUCUCUGCUGACAUCCUCUCCGGCCUUUUAGAAUAAAGCCCCUGAUUUGGCCUUUAGCCCAUCUUUUUCCCUAUAUAUAUUGUUUGAAUGUAAAAAAAAAAGUGUGUGUGUGUGUAUAUAUAUAUAUAUACACACACACACACACACACUUUUUUUUUUACAUUCAAACAAUUGACACAAUUUUUGCAAUAAUAAAAUAAAAUAAACUUUAUUUUUAUAUCCCGCCCCAUCUCCCCGAAGGGACUCGGGGCGGCUCACAACAGGGACAAGCCCGAAACAACAACACAGCAUAUUUGACAAAACUUAAAACAUUUCAACGAUACACAAUACAUUAAAAUCCAAGCAGAUAAAAUCAGACUAAUUAAAAGCAAACCAGCAGGGACAGGUUUCGUAAAGUGCUGUAUCAUAGAAAUGAGUAACAGUGAUAAAGUGCCAUACGCUUUUAAAACAUAAAGAAGUUUUCUGAUGACAGCUCUAUUUGGCCUAUUCAUUCAAACGCGCUCUGGAACAACCAUGUUUUCAAUUCCCAGCGGAAAAUGGGCAGGGAAGGAGCUAACCUGAUCUCCUUAGGGAGAGGGUUCCAGAGCCGGGGGGCCACUGCCAAGAAGGCAAUGCAUGUCUUAUUUCAAUAUACAUAAUACCAAAACUAAUGCUUAAAUGACAUUUUAAAUGAUCCUUUGGAAUGUAUCACCCAUCUGUGUUAUCUGGCCGCUUGGCAUUCUGGGGCCCGAACCCAUGAUACUAGCAAAGUUGAAAUCACAAGAGACCGGAUAGUCAUCUGUCAGGGGUAUUUUGAUUGUACUUUUCCUGCAUGGCUUGGGUAGGAAUGGAUGAUCUACACGUUCUCUUCCGGCUCUAUGAUUCUAUGAUUAAUUUUUAAUAAAAGUGAAGAGAUUCCAAAAUAACUGUUAAGAUUUUUACAAUUUUUGUCCUUUGAGGUAUAUAUAUAAUUUAAACCAAAAAAAAUGAAAUCAUUUUGUUGCUCUCACAAAAGAAAGCAGGAAAUAGAAAGUCUUAUAUUACAGUAGUGCCAGGAGAUAACAAUUUUUAAAUAAAUGGGGUCUGGCAUCUUACUUUUAAAAGCAAGUGUUUAGUACUCCUUAGAAGGGCAAAGCAACCUUCUGCACAUUUCCAUCCUAUUUAUUUUAUAUAUGAUAUCUUUUGUUUAUUUCAAGUGGAGAAAAUUGUCCCAUUGCAUGGGCACUUGAGAUUUAAUUAUGCUAGUGAAGUACAGCUUUCAGCAUGUAGGUUGUGAAUGAUGGUAACAAAAGCAUGUUGUUCUGAUGGCAUUCUGCCUGUAUCUCAGAAAGCUAAUGCAGUGCUGAAGUGUACUGAAUGCAGGCAUUGUUUUUUUCCCUUUAUUCUUAUUGUGAACAGGAAGAAUAAUGCAGAAUCAGAUGCUACCGCAUGCCUAAGUUCUGAAGGAUCAAAUACGGCAUGAAUGGGAUGAAGGCAAGGAUCAGAGGUUUAUUCACUUCGGCCAAAAGUGGAUGUCAAAGAGACAGCAAUCUCAAAUAAGACAUAAACGCAAUGGAUAUUUAUUUAUACCCUGCUUUAUCUCUCCCAAAGGGAGAGGAUAGGAAUGCCCAUUCUCCCACAUCACCAAAAUGAUUCAACACGGGCAAAUCUGACAGAUACCAUCACACGUGUAAACAAGUGCCUUCUCCUAUUUUCGCACGAAUCAUGAGCUCAGAUGAUUUCUCCCUGGCUCUGUUCCCUCCCUUUUCUAAAGACUUCUAAAACAGUUUACAGACUAAGCAUUAUCGUCGUAUGGUGGGCUCCAUGGUACUUCAUCUGUGUACUGUUUAGAAACGGGAAGUGGGGGAGGGGAUUGCGUGUGAUGAAGUCCUUAGCUAGGUAUUCUUCUACUAUCUCAUUACCUAUUCUGUGCUGUAUUUCCUCUACGGCAUAAUCUGGUCCAUUUUCCCCACGUUGAAUAGUGUUUUCCUUUUGGGGGGAA